AAAAGCGACGAGGCAAAACUUGUGCUAAAUGAAUUAAUCAAUAAAUAAAUGGAUAAACGAAGGUGCCAAGCAUGAGCGAGUCCUAAAUCACUACCAGAGAAAUGGUGUGAGGAAGUUACAACAGUCAAAAUCGUGCCAAAGAUGUUACAGGCUUUAAUUUGGCUUCAACGUUUUACUGGAAAUUAUUUUACCCGUUGAUACGCGCAGUGAGCAGGACGUUCGAAUAAUCUUGCUAAUAUAUAAUACACGACGCCACGGCAUUCGCCUCGAGGCUCCAGAGUGAGAGAACUGAAACAUCAACUAUUACCAUCGUGUUUAUUUCCGGCUAUGGUUAUUGUCGUUCCAGAUGGUAGCAACACGACUCGACUUACCUCAUAAUCAAAUUCAAAUUCAAACGACUUAUCCGCCAUUAAAGAUGACCUAGAGUUCAAAAAUGGCCUGCCGUGCCCGAACCAGAUCGAAACAAAGACACUAAAGCUCCGGUACCAACAAGUACGAGCAUUCAAAGCACAAGUCCAGGGGGGCGUGCAGCGGAC
rnacentral:lncRNA from 1 species